rnacentral:rRNA from 1 species
UACGGAGGUGGCGAGCGUUGUCCGGAAUUACUGGGGGUAAAGGGCGUGUAGGCGGGGGGGCAAGUCAGAUGUGAAAGUCCGGGGCUUAACCCCGGCGCUGCAUCUGAAACUGUCGUUCUUGAGUGUCGGAGAGGAAAGGGGAAUUCCCAGUGUAGCGGUGAAAUGCGUAGAGAUUGGGAGGAACACCAGUGGCGAAGGCGGCUGUCUGGACGAUGACUGACGCUGGGGGGCCAAAGCGUGGGGAGCCAGCAGC